rnacentral:tRNA from 1 species
GUUCUUGUAGUUAAAGCAUACUAACGGUGGUUUUUCAGACCACAGAUCUUGGGUAGAGGCCAAGCAGGAACU